CAAAUCAUUGUUGUGUUGUUGGGCCGGUUUGGUUUGGUAGAUUUUAUAUCUGCCAAGCCAUCUACUCAACAUCAACACUUGCGCGUGUUGUGUUUGACAGAGUAAAUUACUUUAUAAUUAAUGA
rnacentral:misc_RNA from 1 species